rnacentral:rRNA from 1 species
ACUCAAAUGAAUUGACGGGGGCCCGCACAAGCGGUGGAGUAUGUGGUUUAAUUCGAAGCAACGCGCAGAACCUUACCUACCCUUAACAUCCCAGGACAGCGGCAGAGAUGUCGUGUUCCCUUCGGGGACCUGGUGAUAGGUGCUGCAUGGCUGUCGUCAGCUCGUGUCGUAAGAUGUCUGGUUAAGUCCAAUAACGAGCGCAACCCUUGUUCUUAGUUACCAUCAUUAAGUUGGGGACUCUGAGAAUACCGCCGGUGUCAAACCGGAGGAAGGCGGGGAUGACGUCAAGUCCUCAUGGCCCUUACGGGUAGGGCUACACACGUACUACAAUGGCAGAACCAAACCGUUGCGAAACCGCGAGGUGGAGCUAAUCGGUAAAACACUGUCUCAGUCCGGAUUGGAGUCUGCAACUCGACUCCAUGAAGAUGGAAUCGCUAGUAAUCGCUGAUCAGCAAGCAGCGGUGAAUACGUUCCCGGGCCUUGUACACACCGCCCGU